AUGGGUCUUUUUAAAAAACAGAAAGAAGAAUGGAGUGUUUUCAGAUCAUUCUAAGCAAAGCUUGCAUGGACACAGGAUCUGUAUUUUAAAUCAGAUUGAAUUUAUUGAUAUUUGCUGUAUCUUCAUUUCCUAAUUUUUUGUAUUUUCCAAAGUAAACUGUUCCCAUUCUAUCAUAACAUGAAAGUAAUUUACAAUACCAUUUUAACUGACAAAAAAUAUAAAAGAACAUUUAAAUCCUGGUUGAGGCAUUAUUCCUUAUAAAUUCAAUGUACUAAGAUUUUUGUCUACUUUUAAAAGCAAUGUUUCCUGUUCAUUUAUAAUAUGAUACUUUUUCAUGCACAAGAAAUAUAAUAGGACCUUGCGAUCCUGUGUGAGGAAAUAUUCAUUAAAAUUCAAUGGACUAUGAUUUUUUCUUCCUUUUUUAAAAGCAAUUUUUCCUGUUUGAUCUUUAUUAUGAAACUUUGAGUCGUAUACUUUUUCACUGAUAAGAAAUAUAAUAGAACCUAUUCAUCCUCCUUGAUGCAAUAUUUGUUAGAAUUAUAAUGUACUAUAAUUAUUUCAAAUUUGUCUUCUUUUAAACACAAUUUUUUCCUGUUCAAUCAUAAUAAAAUGAAAGUAAUUAGUGGUAUAAUUUUCAGCUGCAAAAUAUAUUCUGUGGUUUCAAUUAUUUUCAUGCGUACUAAUUUUUUCGUAUUGAUGAAAAAUUGUAUUUCUAUGGUUACUGGAUUUUGUGGUGUUGACAAAUCCUUCAUAAAAUCCUAUAUAAAAUUUGUUUCUUUGGUUAGCUAUACCCUUGAAAACCAUGUAAUUUGGUACCCCAAAUAUAGUUAUUCAUCCACACUAAUAUAAGCAUUAUAUCCUGCUUGAGACAUUAUUCAAUAACUAGGAAAAGGAAUAGUAUUUAAUAUAUUAUACUCCAAGGUAUUAAAAAACUUGCAAAGUUGCGACAGAUCUCUUUAAAUGACAAAUACUUAAACAAUUGGUGAUUUUGAUUGUCACAUUUCUGUCCUUGGAUGUAUUUAUUUAUUUAUUUAUUUAAUAUUAGUAAUCCAACCUAGUUAAACAAGAUCUGGAAGAGUUAUUGUUGAGACUUGUGUUUGUUCAGAGAGCAUGCUUUGUGUAUUAAGAUAUCAAUAUCAGAGUUGUGACACAUACUCUCUACAAGUAUUUCUUCAGGGUUUUUAUCAUUUCUAUUUAAGAAUUAAAAACAUAAGGUGUUUCUGAAAUUAAAAAAAGUAUGGAAAUGAUUGAAGCAAAAACUGCUAUGAAAUUAAAUAUUAUUGCAUGAUUGAUUCUGUUAUAGGCGUAGAACCACCAAUUCAUGACACAGAACAAGCAUACAUGAAAGUAGCUCUUUUUGGCAUCAAAUAAAAGUUUAAGAAGUUAGGAUCACUGUAUAACCCUAUUGAAUGUAUAGCCUGACUUAUAAUACAAAAUUGUAUAAAAUUGAAAUAGGAGGGGAUAUACACCUGUUUCUUAAAUCAGAAAUACCUGUUUUCAUUUUUUUUUUAACCAUGUAGAGUGUUCUUAAAUGCAAUUAAUGGUAUGUUGAUUUUUUCAACACUAGCCAAGAUAAGGAUUUUUUUAAUUUGAUUCACCUGUCACUUUGUUUGAACUUGAUGUGGUAGAGCUAUGAUAGCUUGGAAUUGCAGAAUUUAACUUAUAAAACAAAUGGGGUCAUGACUUAGUGGUUUACUUCCUAAUGUAUUAAUUGUGCCUGUGCCAAGUUUUUUUUUGUAUCAACAAUCAUACAUGUAUUGAAAAAAAAAAUUGUAUUUCAAGUAACUUGUUUCGUUUUCUUGUUUAUAUAUGUUGAUAGUAUAAAAUAAAAUAAUUAUGGAAUAUUUUAAAA